rfam:Candidatus Sungbacteria bacterium RIFCSPHIGHO2_02_FTLL_49_20 rifcsphigho2_02_scaffold_39568, whole genome shotgun sequence.
GGAGAGGUGCCGGAGUGGCUAAACGGAGCGGUUUGCUAAACCGCGGGGAUCUAAAAAGUCCCGCGUGGGUUCAAAUCCCACCCUCUCCG